UACGUAGGGUGCAAGCGUUGUCCGGAAUUAUUGGGCGUAAAGAGCUCGUAGGCGGUCUGUUGCGUCGGCUGUGAAAACCCGGGGCUCAACUCCGGGCCUGCAGCCGAUACGGGCAGACUAGAGUUCGGCAGGGGAGACUGGAAUUCCUGGUGUAGCGGUGAAAUGCGCAGAUAUCAGGAGGAACACCGGUGGCGAAGGCGGGACUCUGGGCCGAUACUGACGCUGAGGAGCGAAAGCGUGGGGAGCAAACAGG
rnacentral:rRNA from 1 species